rnacentral:rRNA from 1 species
UUCCAGGUAAAUCCGGUUCACUUUAACACUGAGGCGUGACGACGAGGCACUACGGUGCUGAAGCAACAAAUGCCCUGCUUCCAGGAAAAGCCUCUAAGCAUCAGGUAACAUCAAAUCGUACCCCAAACCGACACAGGUGGUCAGGUAGAGAAUACCAAGGCGCUUGAGAGAACUCGGGUGAAGGAACUAGGCAAAAUGGUGCCGUAACUUCGGGAGAAGGCACGCUGACACGUAGGUGAAGUGAUUUACUCAUGGAGCUGAAGUCAGUCGAAGAUACCAGCUGGCUGCAACUGUUUAUUAAAAACACAGCACUGUGCAAACACGAAAGUGGACGUAUACGGUGUGACGCCUGCCCGGUGCCGGAAGGUUAAUUGAUGGGGUCAGCGCAAGCGAAGCUCCUGAUCGAAGCCCCGGUAAACGGCGGCCGUAACUAUAACGGUCCUAAGGUAGCGAAAUUCCUUGUCGGGUAAGUUCCGACCUGCACGAAUGGCGUAAUGAUGGCCAGGCUGUCUCCACCCGAGACUCAGUGAAAUUGAACUCGCUGUGAAGAUGCAGUGUACCCGCGGCAAGACGGAAAGACCCCGUGAACCUUUACUAUAGCUUGACACUGAACAUUGAGCCUUGAUGUGUAGGAUAGGUGGGAGGCUUUGAAGUGUGGACGCCAGUCUGCAUGGAGCCGACCUUGAAAUACCACCCUUUAAUGUUUGAUGUUCUAACGUGGACCCGUGAUCCGGGUUGCGGACAGUGUCUGGUGGGUAGUUUGACUGGGGCGGUCUCCUCCUAAAGAGUAACGGAGGAGCACGAAGGUUGGCUAAUCCUGGUCGGACAUCAGGAGGUUAGUGCAAUGGCAUAAGCCAGCUUGACUGCGAGCGUGACGGCGCGAGCAGGUGCGAAAGCAGGUCAUAGUGAUCCGGUGGUUCUGAAUGGAAGGGCCAUCGCUCAACGGAUAAAAGGUACUCCGGGGAUAACAGGCUGAUACCGCCCAAGAGUUCAUAUCGACGGCGGUGUUUGGCACCUCGAUGUCGGCUCAUCACAUCCUGGGGCUGAAGUAGGUCCCAAGGGUAUGGCUGUUCGCCAUUUAAAGUGGUACGCGAGCUGGGUUUAGAACGUCGUGAGACAGUUCGGUCCCUAUCUGCCGUGGGCGCUGGAGAACUGAGGGGGGCUGCUCCUAGUACGAGAGGACCGGAGUGGACGCAUCACUGGUGUUCGGGUUGUCAUGCC